CGAGAAUCGAUCAGCUCCCCCGGUACGUGCUGUAGCUCCAGGGCGAGAUCAGCAAUGGCACGUGGUAGUUUGCGGCCGGGUGGCUGAUGCUGAAGCGUACGGGUACCUGGUCGAGGAACGGGGGUUGGUCGGUGUGGAUUUGUUUCGCGGCGAAAUACUCGCCGACAAAAAACACGAGUUCGUACCGGCCCGUCUUUAUCUCCUCCGCGCUUAACAAAGGCUGAUCGGUGCGACCAUCGGCGUUGGUGCGAACGGUUUUCAAUAAUCGUGGUGGGCUAAAAUCACGCGACCACAAUUCGAUUCGCAUUCCGCCCGCCGGUAUUCCGUGGGCGGUGUCGAGUACGUGUGUGCUGAGCUUGCCGG
rnacentral:misc_RNA from 1 species